GACGAACGCUGGCGGCGUGCCUAAUACAUGCAAGUUGAGCGCUGAAGGUUGGUCCUUGUACCGUCUGGAUGAGCAGCGAACGGGAGAGUAACGCGGGGGGAAUCUGCCUUUGAGGGGGGGACAACAUGUGGAAACGAAUGCUAAUACCGCAUAAAAACUUUAAACACAAGAUUUAAGUUUGAAAGAUGCAAGUACAUCACUCAAAGAUGACCCCGCGUUGUAUUAGCUAGUUGGUGAGGUAAGGGCUCACCAAGGCGACGAUACAUAGCCGACCUGAGAGGGUGAUCGGCCACACUGGGACUGAGACACGGCCCAAACUCCUACGGGAGGCAGCAGUAGGGAAUCUUCGGCAAUGGACGGAAGUCUGACCGAGCAACGCCGCGUGAGUGAAGAAGGUUUUCGGAUCGUAAAACUCUGUUGGUAGAGAAGAACGUUGGUGAGAGUGGAAAGCUCAUCCAGUGACGGUAACUUCCCAGAAAGGGACGGCUAACUACGUG
rnacentral:rRNA from 1 species